rnacentral:lncRNA from 1 species
CUCUCUUUCUCUUUAUAUUCAGAUCUUAUUUCGGUUCUGGUUACAGUCACAAACUAGAUUGUUAAAAAUAUGAUCAUCUUGCUUUCAAUUUAAUCUAUUGUGGUUAUAGUAGCAAAUCAAAUACAUCUUUAUCUUUAUGAUUGAGUUCCUUUUGAUGGAUGGAAUGCACGACACAUCUCAUACAUCAUAACGCACGCCAUUCAGCUAACACUACCUUUGACC